AGCGAACGUUUGCGGCGGGCCUAACACAUGCAAGUCGAACGCACUAGCAAUAGUGAGUGGCGCACGGGUGCGUAACACGUGGGUAAUCAACCCUUCAGCCUGGGAUAACGACUCGAAAGGGUCGCUAAUACCGGAUACGGCGCGAGAGGCUUCGGCUUCUCACGAGAAAGCCACGCAAGGGGCACUGAAGGACGAGCCUGCGGCCCAUCAGCUAGUUGGUGAGGUAAGAGCUCACCAAGGCUAAGACGGGUAGCUGGUCUGAGAGGAUGAUCAGCCACACUGGAACUGAGACACGGUCCAGACUCCUACGGGAGGCAGCAGUGGGGAAUAUUGCGCAAUGGGCGAAAGCCUGACGCAGCCACGCCGCGUGAGCGAUGAAGGCCUUCGGUCGUAAGACGUCUGUGGGAGGAGACGAAGAAAGACCUGUGAAGAGCAGGCCUUGACGGUAGUCUCCUUAGUCAAGCACCGGCGUAACUACCGU
rnacentral:rRNA from 1 species